rnacentral:rRNA from 1 species
AAUGGGGAAACCCAGCAUGAGUUAUGUCAUGUUAUCGAUAUGUGAAUACAUAGCAUAUCAGAAGGCACACCCGGAGAACUGAAACAUCUUAGUACCCGGAGGAAGAGAAAGAAAAUUCGAUUCCCUUAGUAGCGGCGAGCGAAACGGGAAGAGCCCAAACUAACAAGCUUGCUUGUUGGGGUUGUAGGACACUCUAUACGGAGUUACAAAGGACGACAUUAGACGAAUCAACUGGAAAGAUGAAUCAAAGAAGGUAAUAAUCCUGUAGUCGAAAAUGUUGUCUCUCUUGAGUGGAUCCUGAGUACGACGGAGCACGUGAAAUUCCGUCGGAAUCUGGGAGGACCAUCUCCUAAGGCUAAAUACUCUCUAGUGACCGAUAGUGAACCAGUACCGUGAGGGAAAGGUGAAAAGAACCCCGGAAGGGGAGUGAAAUAGAACCUGAAACCGUGUGCUUACAAGUAGUCAGAGCCCGUUAAUGGGUGAUGGCGUGCCUUUUGUAGAAUGAACCGGCGAGUUACGAUUUGAUGCAAGGUUAAGCAGUAAAUGUGGAGCCGUAGCGAAAGCGAGUCUGAAUAGGGCGUUUAGUAU